UACGUAGGGUCCGAGCGUUGUCCGGAAUUACUGGGCGUAAAGCGUGCGCAGGCGGCUUCUUAGGCAUGACGUGAAAGCCCCGGGCUCAACCCGGGAGGGUCGUCGUGAACCGGGGGCUUGAGGCCGGUAGAGGUGGGUGGAACUCCUGGUGGAGUGGUGAAAUGCGUAGAGAUCAGGAAGAACACCCGUGGCGAAGGCGGCCCACUGGGCCGGUAC
rnacentral:rRNA from 1 species